UGCUGCAAGCAGGCUUGAGAAAGCAGCCAUGACCUUAUCAUGCUCCUGGAGCACCGCCCGUGUACCAAGACUACUGAUUAUCAUGGCUCGAAUAAGGAGGAUAACAGACCAAUGUGGUUACAGAUCGGCCCGUGCUCCGCUGGAUCAUCUUGACCGUAUUGCCAUUGUUCCUCAGUACGGGGUAGACGUGUGAUCCGUGCGUUAGAGAUUGGAGUUACCAAACAGCUUUCUGGAUGUCUGAGAUCAUCAAACACUUAAUUAAAAUCAGGGCCAUGAGGAGGCGAAGAAAAGAGGAAAGAAUUAAAGUCAAUCUCCUACCAAUAGCUCUAGAGACAGACAGGCUUCCAUUAACCCUC